AUACCAUGAUCUUUAUUAUAGAUAUCACUGAAACCUCUUUUAGUAGAUUAUAAUAGUUUCACUCUAACUAGACAAAGAUCAUUGAUCCAAAAUGAUCCUAUUGAGCUCUCACAAUCCAUCAAUGAUAUCUAGCAAUAUGUAGUGGCAACUCAGUAGAAUUGAAAUAGAACUUCUAGGUGUAGUUGAUGUAUGAUACAGUUUCUCUAUCGUGAGUCCCGACUAGAUGGC
rnacentral:lncRNA from 1 species